rnacentral:rRNA from 1 species
GACGUAGGGGGCGAGCGUUGUCCGGAUUUAUUGGGCGUAAAGCGCGCGCAGGCGGCUCGGAAAGUCGGGUGUGAAAACCCGGGGCUCAACUCCGGAUCUGCGGUGGGUACGGGCAGACUAGAGUGAUGUAGGGGAGACUGGAAUUCCUGGUGUAGCGGUGAAAUGCGCAGAUAUCAGGAGGAACACCGAUGGCGAAGGCAGGUCUCUGGGCAUUAACUGACGCUGAGGAGCGAAAGCAUGGGGAGCGAACAGG